AGCCUUGCCCUUGAGCCCGAGGCGGCUGCUUUGUUCUGUAAGAUACUGCCUCUAGAGAAACAGACAACAGAAAGCGGAACUAAUCUGUCCAUGCUAAAACCAGGAACUCGCUAUAUGGUGCUCGACUUAGGAGGUGAUUCGCAUGUAUUACAAUAUAAAACAAAGUGCUAUAAGACAAAAGACAAUUAGCUAUUUCUCGAACUCAUCUGGGGUUUUUUUUCAUAAAUCCCAAACUUUUUUUGUGUGUUUUAAUGUAAAAUGUACAAAACUUUGUGGAAAAUAUUGAAAUCGAACAUUAGUAUGCAUACAAAAUCAACAAACUGCGUAUUUAUUUUAAAUUAUAAGAAGCCUAACCAUAUAUCAAUUUUAUUUACAAGUUUUACAAAUCCUUACCAGAUGUUAAGCGUUCUUUGAAAAUUUCUUUUGAUAUUUCACAAUUUAAGGGGGAACUGUUGACGUUACCGUACAGGAAGUCCUGCCUGACCACACCCUUAAGGAACUCCACAAGGCCAGCGGAGGGGCCUGGGGAGGGACCAAAAUCGACGAGGCCUUCCGUCAACUGAUCAUUAGCAUCGUGGGGGCUCCAGUCUUUCAAGAAUUUCAAGAAAAAUACCCUAAGGAUUAUUUGGAAAUGUUACAAAGCUUUGAGACCAAAAAGCGGGCUGUUAAUACCAGCAGCAAGGACACAUUUCGGAUCCCAGUAUCUUUGGUCGAACUUUUUGAAGAUGAGUUCGGGGAAAAAUUAGACUUGAUACCAUCAAAAACUCGACAUAGAGGUAAACUGGAGUUGAACGGCGACAAAUUGAUCUUGUCCGGGGAAAUGAUUAGUGAAAUGUUCAAACAUUCCCGCGAAAGCAUCGUUGAACAUGUAGAGAGUCUUUUUGCACAUCCGUUUUGCAAAGAUGUGGACAAAAUUUUGAUGGUUGGGGGUUUCUCUGAGUGCGUAAUAAUUCAGGAAGCAAUCAAAAAAAGAUUUCCAAACAAGAGAGUGGUCAUUCCUCCGGAUGCAGGUUUGGCCAUUGUAAAAGGCGCCGUAUUGUUUGGCCACAAUCCGAAAAUGAUUAUUUCCAGAAAUACAAAAUGGACCUAUGGUGUUCAAACCAACAGAAAUUUCAAACCAGGAGAUCCGCCAGACAAAAUGUUUAAAGUUGGAAAUGUUGAAAAAUGUAAAGAAAUCUUUAGUGUCCACAUCGGAGUCAAUAAAACCGUAGAAGUGGGGACCCCACUCCCACCCAAACGAUACAGAGCGCUACACAGAGACGAUGAGACGAUUGAUAUUCCAAUCUAUAUUUCAUCAGAAGAACAACCCGAAUUCACGACCGACUCCUCGUGCUCUUACCUGGGAAAACUCACAAUUGAACUGCAGAAAUCCAACAGUGACCGAGAAAUUGAGGUCGGAAUGACUUUUGGCGGAACGGAACUGGUAGUGGAAGCCAAGGGCACAAAAAACAAAGAGGUGUGUGUCGCCAAGUUUGACUUUUUGGAAUCCAAGGAUAAACAAUCUUAACUGUUUGUACAUUUGAAAUUGAUAUUGGAAUAAUGCAUCUCUCAGACAUCGUUUAAUUGCAAGCGAAAUGCCAUGACACUUUUUAGAUGCGAAUCAGGUGAUAUGAUUUAAAGAUGCAUGUAUAAAUACGUUACCGUAUGAUCGAUUUAUUGAUUUAUUUAUUUUUGUAUUAUGUGUACCUUUCAUCUAUUAGAAUAUACUUUGAACCCC
rnacentral:misc_RNA from 1 species